ACGGGGUGCAGCAGGCGCGAAACCUCCACAAUGCGCGAAAGCGUGAUGGGGUUAUCCCGAGUGCCGUCCGAUGAGGAUGGCUUUUCAUCGGUGUAAGGAUCCGAUGGAAUAAAGGGGGGGCAAGACUGGUGUCAGCCGCCGCGGUAAUACCAGCCCCCUGAGUGGUAAGGACGAUUAUUUGGCCUAAAGCGUUCGUAGCCGGCUUAUCAAGUCUUUUGUUAAAUCCAACGAUUCAAUCGUUGGGCCGCAAAAGAUACUGUUAUGCUAGAGGACGGGAGAGGUCGACGGUAGUCCAGGGGUAGGGGUGAAAUCCUAUAAUCCUUGGAGGACCACCAGUGGCGAAGGCGGUCGACUAGAACGUGCCUGACGGUGAGGGACGAAAGCUGGGGGAGCGAACCGGAUUAGAUACCCGGGUAGUCCCAGCCGUAAACGAUGCGGGCUAGGUGUUGGGGCAGCCACGAGCUGCUCCAGUGCCGCAGAGAAGUUGUUAAGCCCGCCGCCUGGGGAGUACGGCCGCAAGGCUGAAACUUAAAGGAAUUGGCGGGGGAGCACCACAAGGGGUGAAGGCUGCGGUUUAAUUGGAGUCAACGCCGGGAACCUUACCGGGGCUGACAGCAGAGUGAAGGCCAGACUGAAGAUCUUGCCAGACAAGCUGAGAGGAGGUGCAUGGCCGUCGCCAGUUCGUGCCGUGAGGUGUCCUGUUAAGUCAGGCAACGAACGAGACCCC
rnacentral:rRNA from 1 species